UGGACAGAAAGACCCUAUGAAGCUUUACUGUAACUUGAGAUUGAAACUGGACUUUAUUUGCGCAGUAUAGGUGGAAGGCGUUGAUUAUAUUCUUGCGGGAAUAUUGGAGCCAUCAGUGAGAUACCACUCCUAUAAUGUUAGGUUUCUAACUUUGAAUCAUUAUCUGGUCAAAGAACAGUUUCAGGCGGGCAGUUUGACUGGGGCGGUCGCCUCCCAAAUGGUAACGGAGGCGUACAAAGGUUUCCUCUGAACGGGUAGAAAUCGUAUCUAGAGUAUAAAGGCAAAAGGAAGCUUGACUGUGAGACCUACAAGUCGAGCAGGGACGAAAGUCGGUCUUAGUGAUCUGACGGUGCUGAGUGGAAAGGCCGUCACUCAACGGAUAAAAGUUACUCUAGGGAUAACAGGCU
rnacentral:rRNA from 1 species